ensembl:lncRNA
GACGGGCUCAGCUGCUCCCAUGCAGGCUGUGCAGCGCAGGGAUCUGGCGAGCUAUUUGCCAAGCACUUUCUUGGCUGCUCAUAGUACUUUUCCCCCUUUUUCUCUUUGUGGGGCUUGAUAGGGGGCUAUUUAAAAACAGCGACAGCAAAUCAGAUGCGGCCAAGCAAAAGGCGUUUACUUCGCCUCCAGUGGCUCGAGGUGCAAAAAUCCUCCACAAGCACUGUUUUCCUUUUAAACUAACACCGCGUGGAAUAAAGUGUAGUUUUCUUGGGUGAACCUCGGGAACAUUUGCGGUGGUGGAAACAGGGGAUGAUUCGAGGAAGGUGGAAAUGCAGAUCAAUUGGGAAAUAGCGGAGAACAUCGCCUCUGCUUUCCGCGGCAACAGACAGAGCAGGUAGCCCAGAAUUAGACUCAGGAGUCCGGCGAGUUGCUGAGCCUAAUGCCCACCGGUCAUUAAUUACAACAAUUAUUCACCUUCAUAUCGCAGGCAACUAUCGACUCUGCACUGCACUGCGCGGCGCUGCAUCCAAAAUGCACGACGGCAACAAAAAAAGAUUGUAUUAAUCUGCAGGAGGCCUCAUCUGGUGACAUCUUCAUACAUGAUGCUCUCUGCUCUCAAAACACCAGCGACUCCUUGGGAUCAGCGUGCAGGUGAUCGCAGCGAGUGGCAGAGAGAGAAAUCGACCCAGCCCACAGUCCUAUUGCUCUUAUCGAGACACACUUUAGCAGCCUACCCUGAGCAACCUGAAGACACUGCGUUCAGCUACUCAACACAUGAAAACAUUUAAUAAAAUACAGAGCAUUUACCCACCAUGAAAAACAGUGUGUGUAAUUACCCUCCUAGGAAUUUUUGCAUAUUAGUAAAAAAGAAGUUAUGAUAAGUACCUUUUUUUCUCUGCUUUCUGUUCCUACAACCAGACCUGUUUUACAUGAAGGAUCAGGGAUGUCAGUAAGAAUGAGGCGCCUGCUCUUAAUCAUCGGGACAAAUACACCAUUAACUACACCAUUCAUUCUCCUGAAUCUGCAUUGAGUAUGGUAAACUCUGCUCAUUACCCAAGCAGAUGCUUUAAAAGCCAGACUGGAUGGGAUCAAAGGCCAGAGAGGGAGCGAGAGAGACGGGCUCUCUGGCUCCCACUGCUUCAGCUCAUUUUCAUUAUCCUACACACCGACCGAAAUAGCGAUCACAUUAUGCAUUAACGCUUUUAAAAGCUUCUCUCGUUCUCUGCCGGCCUCUUGAACACCGCUAAAUAUUGGAAGAGUUUCGUUGUGUUCCCAAAAUGACUCAGGAAGCCGGUCAACAGCCCAGCAGGGAUCCAGCGGUAGCAUCGCUUGAUUUGAUCUUUAGACAUAGACCUAUCACGACCCAGUAGGACGGCAAUAAAGAAGAGUUAAGGCAUGUGUGAGCGUACACACAAGCACACGUACAUAUGGAGAACACUUUAAGGAGCACAUCGUAUGCUUGUGUCAGGGAAAAAAUGAGAGAUAAAUGUGUGUGUGUGUGUGUGUGUGUGUGUGUGUGUGUGUGUGUGUGUGUGUGUGUGUGUGUGUGUGUGUGUGUGUGUGUGUGUGUGUGUGUGUGUGUGUGUGUGUCUAUGUAUCUGAGAGAGAAAGGGAGAGAGAGAAAAAUAGAGCAACAAUUUGUGGGAGAAAGUGUGUGCACACAUGCAAAAACGGUGUCUGUGUGUGUGUUUGUGUGUGUUUGUUUGUGUGCGUGUAAAGGCAUGCACUUGUGACUGUUUCUGCAUGUGCAAGUGUGUGCACAUGGUUGUGUGUGUAGAAAAGAGCGAAUAGUAAUAGAUAUUUACAUCCUCCCAAACAAGAAAGACUGCUGAAUCCUUUCGUCCCCGGAGCAGAGGAGAGGAUAGGGAGGUAGAGAGAGAGCAGUAAAGAGAUGUAGAGAGAGAGAGAGGUAGAGAGAGAGAGAGGUAGAGAGAGCACUAGAGAGAGAGGCAUAGAGUACAGCAGAGAGAGCAGUAGAGAGAGAAAGGUAGAAAGAGAGCAGUAGAGAGAGAGAGUUAGAGAGAGCCGUAAAGAGAGAGCAAAAGAGAGAGAGUGGUAGAAAGAGAGCAGUAGAGAGAGAGUGUUAGAGUGAGCGGUAGAGAGAGAGAGAGAGAGAGCGGUAGAGAGAGAGAGAGAGAGAGAGAGAGAGAGAGAGAGAGAGAGAGAGAGAGAGAGAGAGAGAGAGGGAGAGAGAGAGAGAGAGAGAGAGAGAGAGAGAGAGAGAGAGAGAGAGAGAGAGAGAGAGAGAGAGAGAGAGAGAGAGAGAGAGAGAGAGAGAGCGAGAGAGAGAGAAAGAGAAAGAGA